rnacentral:tRNA from 1 species
GGGGAUAUGGCGGAAUCGGUAGACGCUACGGACUUCAAAAAAUCCGUUGGUUUUAUAGAUCGUGAGGGUUCAAGUCCCUCU